rnacentral:lncRNA from 1 species
GUGCCUUCCUCCAUCCCAAUAACUCUUACAUUUGGUCUUUUGAUGUUGUCCCAUAAUUCUUGGGUGUUCUGUUCAUGGUUUCUUACUAUCUUCACUGUGUGAUCAACUUUAUUUUCCAGAUUGUAUACUUUGUCUUCAUUAUCUGACGUUCUUUCUUCCAAGUGAUUUAGUCUGUUGGUUAUGCUUUUAUCGAGUUUUUUAUUUGAUUUAUUGUAUCCUUCAUUUCAAGAAUUUCUGUUUUUUUUUUUUUCAGAGACUCUCUCUCAAUCAGGAAUCUUUUGCUACCUGUAUUUGCUAUCUUAUCUCUUUGUUGGAGCGAUCAAUUUUUGCCUGUAUUUGCUCAUUUGGUCAUUCUUUAAUUUACAGAUGAUUUUAAUUAUAAACCUUCUGAACUCCUUCUCUGACAUUUCAUCAACUUUGCUGGCCAUGGGUUCUGUUAUUGUAGUAUACUGGUUUGUUUGGGGCAUUUUCCUCCCUUGUUUUUUUAUACUGUCUAUGUGUCUUCCUUUCUUGCAGUGUGGAUCCUGGACCUGGGCCUCUAGCAAGUUGUUGAGAGCAGAUCUGGGCCAGGCCUGCCCUCCCACUGUAGUCUGCUGGUGGGAAGGGCAGGUCCCAUGCCAGAGGCUGGGCUCCUGCAGGUGUCCACUAGUGGCAGGAUGGACCUGAGCCAACUGUGAGCCUGGGUCCCUGGCAGGGCAAUGUGGGUAGAGUGUAAUUUAUUUUAUAAAAGUCCCAUGUAAUGAAGUUUUACAAAUUGAAAUAUAAUUCAUGCUGAAAUCAAUUGCAUUAUAUACUUGGGGGAAUAGAGAAGCGUAAGGUAUUAUUUUAUGUAGUAGAGAUUAUAUCUGCUAUAAUAUUCCAGUGUUGUUAGUAUAUUCAGGAACAGUCCCUCUUAAGAUUGUAUGUUCAGAGACAGUCCCUCUAUGUAAACCUCUCUGUUCAUAUAUCCUCUAUGCCUUGAACCAUUAGUAUUUUUGAAUUUCAUACUAUUUCCAAUUGAUAUCUGUUCCAUCUUUUCCUUCAUUCU